rnacentral:rRNA from 1 species
CACACGGUAAACGAUGAAUACUCGCUGUUUGCGAUAUACAGCAAGCGGCCAAGCGAAAGCGUUAAGUAUUCCACCUGGGGAGUACGCCGGCAACGGUGAAACUCAAAGGAAUUGACGGGGGCCCGCACAAGCGGAGGAACAUGUGGUUUAAUUCGAUGAUACGCGAGGAACCUUACCCGGGCUUAAAUUGCAGAUGAAUUACGGUGAAAGCCGUAAGCCGCAAGGCAUCUGUGAAGGUGC